UUUACAAUAUAUCACUUUACUAUACGCUCAUUGGUGUGGAUUCGUUGUCUGCUUGCUCAAAAGAACCAGAACCCUAGUAAGUGGGUUGAGGUAUAUUGAUAUUAUUAUUAAUGAUAUAAUAUACAUAGAAACUUACAAUCCGAACUGAAAAAGCAUUUCCGUGAAAAGUCACAGAAAAGUUGUGAUAUCUGCAACAUUUUUGUGUUGUCAUAGAAUAACUACAACUUGAAAACCUCUAAAACCACAAAUCAAAGAAAGAUCUUUUGCCUAUAUAAGUGAUAUCUGUGCCAGGCUCUGCUGGGAUUUGAGCAAGGAACCUUUGGGAUUCUGGCUCGGUGUCUUAAGCAUUGGGCCAGGUGAGCAACAAGGUCUAUUACCCGACCUUUGCAGCCCUAACCCAGCAGCAGCCUGAUUGGUGGUUUGGGGUCAGCCCUAUAUAAAGCCAGCCCACUUCACCCUCCUUGUCUGAGCAUUACCUAUACUAGCACUUACUUUGCCUUGUCCUUACCUAACCUUGACCUGAACUUACCUUGCCUUGCCUGUUCCUGCUUCCAGUCCUGUUCUGCCGUGUACCUUGUCUUAUAUUUUCCCUUGUCUUGCUCUAUAUCUUGCUCUGCCUUUUCCUCCCCAGUCUCCAGUCUAAUCUAUUCUACACCCACUCCAUCCUGUUCUGUCCUGUCUUUUCUGAUCUAGCCUGUCCUGAUCUAUGCUCGCUCCUUCCUUUCCCGAUCUACGACAGCACCGUCCUGUCCUAUCCAGUCUGCUCGCUCCAUCAUGCUCCUACACAGUCUGCUCCUGUCCUGCCACUUUGUCUUCCUAUCCAGUCUGACUCGUUGCUCUCUUCACCUGGUCCAGUCUGAUUCUUCACCCUGUUCCUGCCUUUCCCUGUCCGUGUCCUGUGGGCACAGCUAGUUCUUGCCUAAGGACUCACCUUCCUCAUUUGCCUCUGCAGCGGCCCAUACCUAAUCCUUGACAGACAUUGACUUCUAUAAGUUUUAGCUGAAAUAUUUUUGUAUUCUGAAUUGUUAUAGUUUUGUCUCAUAAUAAGUUCUGAAAAAGUUGCACUUUUUUUCUUCGACUUGUUUCGGAUUUUCAAUGUCAAAAAGCCUGAUCUGAAAAAGUUACAGCUUAAUAAAUCAGAUUACUGUCUUGUUCACGUCAUGAAUGGCAAGUAUAAAAUGCUGUAGUGUAAGAAUGUCAUUAGUGGAUGACUUACUGAUGUCAAUUCCAUUUUGUGCACAGCCGGUCAACUUUAUUGUCAAAUAGGUUUAUGCCCUAACAGUAAAUGUGGAUGACAAAGAAAUUGAAAAAUAUUAUGAUCAGACAGAAAUCGUAAACAGCUUUUGCCUACUUUAAUUGGUUAUUAAAACCAAAGCAUCCACCAGCAAAGAAAUGUGGCGCAAAGUGGUACUUGGUUAAACAAGGAUGAAAGACCUAGAUAAAAUCUUCAAAUGUAAUCAUGUCUCUAUGAAAACUUAGAUUAGAAUUGAUCAGGAAGUGGUAUUUUCAGAGACUCUUUAUGGAUAUGAAAUGUGGAAAAUGAAGAAGCAAGAUGGGAAAACGAUUGAUGCCUUUGAACUUUGGAGUUGAAGAAGAUUUUUGAAAAUACAGAGGACAAUAAGUAAAAUAAGCAAAUUAAUCUUUUGCUAAAUCAAACUUGACCUUUCACUUGAAGUAUAAAAAAAGACUAGUAUUCUAUUGUAGAGGUAUAUUGGAGAUUGCAGAUACUAGAGGUAUUUUGAACAACAAUCAGUUCAAAGAUAAAACAUAUCUCCUAACUAAAUUCCAUAUUUCUCUUGUAGGCUUCAGUUGAGUUUUUGUGAGAAACCCAUGAUUUUUUUUCCCAUCAAACAGGACAAUCAUGAACAUGCAAAGCACAAAUAUCCAAAGAAAUGGCAGGAGGUGGACAAGAAGCAAAGUCAACUUGAAGGCACUUGAAAAUUAUUAUUAUUAAUAAUAAUAAUAAUCUUCAAUACAUGAUAUCUUCAAUUUCCUUUACUAAUUAGUGGAUCUUCUCUGGACUUUUUUUUAUAUCAGAAUUAUUCUGCACGAGACUGUACUGUACACUCUAUAGCGGAUCUUACCAGUGGAAGAAUUUCCCUCACCUCCUAUGAACAUGUACUUCUACUGCAUUUAUGAUCAGAUCUUUCUAAAAUUAUGUCCAUUAAAAUGCUAUACAUAAAAGGGUUAAUUUGCAAAGCCCCUGUGAGCAAAUGCAAGAGCACUAAAGGACACAAAAGCAUGUCCCUUAGUGCUAAUUCUAAGUGCAUCUGCCUCCAGGGGUAUGCUGCUCAAAAAUCAGGCACUCCCUGCAAAGAGCAGCAUCAGAAGGCGCAAUCUAGCCCUUAUUUGCCAAGGACAUAGGGAAAAAACUUGGUGGGCCCCAACCCUUGUGGUCCCCUCCAGCCCAGAGCCGGUCCUUGCGUUGAAGCGGGAAGCAGCUUCCGACCUCACUCCCCAGCCCCUUAGCUGAAAGAAAAACAAUGAAGACCCGGGGGGGUUGCGGCUCAGGGAGGGGGGCCAUAGAGCUCUAUGUGUCUGGCCUGUCUGUACCUUGCAGGCCUGAAACAGAGCACAGAGACAAUGCAAAGUGCAAAAAAAAUAGUUGAUUGUGGCCAAAUGUGUUUAGGUAUAGGUAUACUAGUGCCAGCACCAAUUUGUCACUUGCAACGACUUUGUGUAAGUGGCCCAAAGCAGGUCCGGACUGAGAAUUAAAAUAGGCCCUGACAUUUCAGGUACACAGAGGCCCAAAAAGCCACCACCAGCCCACUAUAUACUAACUUUAUAUGGCACCUUAUAGCAGCCCCUCUGGCAUUCGCCAGAACCCAUAGAUUGCCAGUCCGGGCCUGGCCCAAAGGCUCCGUUAGGAUUAGCGGACCAAGAAGGAAACGCCAGUCCAACACAGUUCAAGGUAUCCAAGAAGGGUGAGGAAGAAGAAUAGUCAAGUCCAGGCAAAUGGGUUAAUGCAGGCAGAAAAGGUUCAAAGACUAAUAAACAGGCCGAGGUCAAACACAGGUAUCAGUGAUAAUAAAGUGUAAAGUGCACAAAGGAACUCACGAGGUAGAACCUAUAUUAGGGCAAUGUCUGUAAUGUUCUGGUGUCUUAAAUAGGCCUCUUUUGGCGCCAAACGGAUGUGAUGACGUCACGACUCUGCAUCCAUGAUGACUCUGGCAUCACGACACUGCGUCCAUUCUGAUGCUGACUUCAGGAUGCUGCAUCUGUUCUGACGCACUGCAUCAGAAUGUGCCAUGUGGGAUCUCUGGGCACCGCCAUCUUGGGGAAGCAGGAAGGAGCAGCCGUAACAAAUCCGGGUCAUUCAGCAGAGUGUUCUAACUCAUAGCCUGCUGUACACAACAAACCAGAAGUGCAAUCGCAUUGCUCCAGGCUGCUCACACCCCCAUACCAGGACUGCAGCAUUUCAUUUGAAGUCCAAACUCCAGUCAUUGCACUUAUCAACAAAGACCAUAAAAGAAAGAACACGUUCAACAAGUAACGAUUUAUUACAGCUAUAUUAAUUUAAAAGCGGAUGGAAAUGGAUUCUAUUUUAGAUCACAUCAUGAAAGAACAUAUUAAAGGGGUAGUUCACCUUUAAGUUAACUUUUAGCAUGUUAUAAAAUGGCUAUUCUAAGCAGCUUUUCAAUUUGCCUUCAUUUUUUCUUUUUAUAGUUUCUGAAUUAUUAGCUAUCUUCCUUUGACCCUCUGCAGCUUUCAAAUACUGACCCCAUCUAAAAAUCAAAUGCUCUGUAAGGUUACAAAUGCAAUGUUAUUGUUACUUUAUAUUACUCCUCUUUCCAUUAAUGCCAUCUUAUAUUCACAUUCCAGUGUUUUAUUCAAAUCAGUGCAUGGUUACUAGGGUAAUUUGGACCCUAGCAACCAGCUUGCUGAAAUUGCAAACUGGAGAGCUGCUGAAUAAAACGCUUAAUAACUCAAAAACCAUGAAUAAUAAAACAUGAAAACAAAUUUGAUCAUAAAUGAAAAAAAGCUUACAAUAAUCAAGAUUUGGUUUUUUCAGGAUAUCCAUUUUUUUUAUUUUUGUUUUUAUUCCAUUUGAAAAGCCAUCCCUGAUUUACGUUUUUUACUUUAUUCCUCAUUUAAAUGGAUAUCCAGCCUCUUACUUGAGCAAUUACAUACAAAUGUUAGUCUCCAAAACAGUUUUAGUACAGAGGUGUUUUACAUUGUGAAAUAAAGCACUUUUGGCUUUACUGCCUUUUAUCUCUGGGAGAACAUAUAUCAGUUCUUUUUUCAUGCACUAAUGUGAUAGCAGAAUAGAAGGCUGGCCUGGGGUUGUAAGAAUAUCUGAACAUGACUCUCAUGUAUAUUAAUCGAGGUUUAAACAUGAAUAUAACACAGUUUUUAUGGACUCUGCGGUGCAGGAGAAUGUGAUCAUUUGACUUUGCUUAAAGUCAAUGAGCAAAAUAAAAGUUGCAAAUAAGAAUGAGUGCAGUUUAUUGUCAGUGGAGACAAUUUUGUAGGGUGAGCCAAAGUGUAUGCAGUUAAGUUGAAUGAUAGAGAACGGCAAGAGAGAAUAGAGAAAGGGAAAAAGCAAGAAUGAUACACAUGAUAUGAAAGUUAAAAUAAAACAAAUUAUUAUUUUGUAUGUUAUACAUUGAAA